AGUGACGGUACUUGAGGAAUAAGCAUCGGCUAACUCCGUGCCAGCAGCCGCGGUAAUACGGAGGAUGCAAGCGUUAUCCGGAAUGAUUGGGCGUAAAGGGUCCGCAGGUGGAACUGAAAGUCUGCUGUUAAAGAGUCUGGCUCAACCAGAUAAAAGCAGUGGAAACUACAGAACUAGAGUAUGGUAGGGGUAGAAGGAAUUCCUAGUGUAGCGGUGAAAUGCGUAGAUAUUAGGAAGAACACC
rnacentral:rRNA from 1 species